UACGUAGGGUGCGAGCGUUGUUCGGAAUUACUGGGCGUAAAGAGUGUGUAGGCGGUGCUCUAAGUUCGGUGUGAAAUCUCCUGGCUCAACUGGGAGGGUGCGCCGGAAACUGGAGUGCUUGAGCGUGGGAGAGGAAAGCGGAAUUCCUGGUGUAGCGGUGAAAUGCGUAGAUAUCAGGAGGAACACCCGAGGCGAAGGCGGCUCUCUGGGUCGUACCUGACGCUGAGGCGCGAAAGCGUGGGGAGCGAACGGG
rnacentral:rRNA from 1 species